rnacentral:piRNA from 1 species
UGGUCCAUGUUAGUGCCCAGUCCAUUGC